GGCGGAAGGGGCUCGAGGUGGCCGCCGUCGCCGCGGAAGACCAAUCCCCCACCUUGUCCAGAAUCGCUUCCUCCGCCAUGUUCCACCGAGGAAGUGAAAAUACAUGCAUUCGGCGUUCAGGACUAAACAGGAAAGAACCUGAACCCCAAGGUGGCACUCAGUUUUCUGUGUUUCAGUCGCAGUGCAAGUUGCAGGCACUCUACAUGGACGAGAAUUUAUCACUAUCACUGGUUUUGUUUCUUCAGUAAAAAGCAUUGUCUACUACCUAUCGAGUUGAAACUGAUGAAGUUGUUUCUGUAGUUAUUAGCCCUAUAAAUAGCAAUGCGUGUGUUGCAUCUGAUGUGCAUGAGUUCAACCUAGCGAUCUCCUGGGAGAAGAAAAACAGAGCCACAACAGCCCUGACGAAGAUCUCCAUCUGUGGUCCGAGGACCAACCAUGACGUCGAGCUGCUACAGCUUGGAGUCAGGAGUCGUGUUCGCACCCCGGCGUGUCCCAGUAUGUGCUUUGGAAGAGAUGCGUCAAUCUCAGAAGACCCUGAUGCGUCCACAUUAUUUGCUUCAGAAAUAGAUAGCAGCUCUCCGAUGUAGUAAGGAGAAAGCAAGAAUGACAGAGCAUCCUCGUGUCAAACUGAACACACCCUGUCACUUCUCCAUUAUUUAA